GUUGCUGCUGUUCUGUGUGAGGAUUUCUGAGUGUUUGAGGAAGAAGACGCCAGGCAUAAACGAACGUCGCACAUCCGUUUGGACCUGAAACAGAUGUGGAUAUCUGUUUCACUUUAAACGGAUGUUGACAUCCGUUGAAGGAUAAUCAAAUCCAUUUAAGGUUUACGGUAUUUUUAACAGUGACGUACCUUUCUGCUGCUUGCUUUCUCCCCUUCAAAACACG
rnacentral:lncRNA from 1 species